rnacentral:rRNA from 1 species
GACGAACGCUGGCGGCGUGCCUAAUACAUGCAAGUAGAACGCACAGUUUAUACCGUAGCUUGCUACACCAUAGACUGUGAGUUGCGAACGGGUGAGUAACGCGUAGGUAACCUGCCUGGUAGCGGGGGAUAACUAUUGGAAACGAUAGCUAAUACCGCAUAAUAUUAAUUAUUGCAUGAUAAUUAAUUGAAAGUUGCAAUUGCACCACUACCAGAUGGACCUGCGUUGUAUUAGCUAGUAGGUGAGGUAACGGCUCACCUAGGCGACGAUACAUAGCCGACCUGAGAGGGUGAUCGGCCACACUGGGACUGAGACACGGCCCAGACUCCUACGGGAGGCAGCAGUAGGGAAUCUUCGGCAAUGGACGAAAGUCUGACCGAGCAACGCCGCGUGAGUGAAGAAGGUUUUCGGAUCGUAAAGCUCUGUUGUAAGAGAAGAACGGGUGUGAGAGUGGAAAGUUCACACUGUGACGGUAUCUUACCAGAAAGGGACGGCUAACUACGUG